rnacentral:rRNA from 2 species
CCUGAUCCAGCCAUGCCGCGUGAGUGAAGAAGGCCUUCGGGUUGUAAAGCUCUUUCGGACGGAAAGAAAUCGCCGCCUCUAACAUAGGCGGUGGAUGACGGUACCUUAGGAGGAAGCCCCGGCUAACUACGUGCCAGCAGCCGCGGUAAUACGUAGGGGGCGAGCGUUGUCCGGAUUUACUGGGCGUAAAGGGUGCGUAGGCGGCCUUGUAAGUCAGAUGUGAAAGGCUACGGCUCAACCGUAGUAAGCAUUUGAAACUGCAGGGCUUGAGUGCAGGAGAGGAGAGUGGAAUUCCUAGUGUAGCGGUGAAAUGCGUAGAUAUUAGGAGGAACACCACUGGCGAAGGCGACUCUCUGGACUGUAACUGACGCUGAGGCACGAAAGCCUGGGGAGCAAACA